CGCGCAGGCGGCCUUUUAAGUUGGAUGUGAAAGCCUAUGGCUCAACCAUAGAACUGCAUCCAAAACUAUCAGGCUAGAGUGUGGGAGAGGAAGAUGGAAUUAGUUGUGUAGGGGUAAAAUCCGUAGAGAUAACUAGGAAUACCAAAAGCGAAGGCAAUCUUCUGGAACACUACUGACGCUGAGGCGCGAAAGCGUGGGGAGCAAACAGGAUUAGAUACCCUGGUAGUCC
rnacentral:rRNA from 1 species